rnacentral:rRNA from 1 species
ACAGAGGGGGCAAGCGUUGUUCGGAAUUACUGGGCGUAAAGGGCGCGUAGGCGGCCUUCUAAGUCGAACGUGAAAUCCCCGGGCUUAACCUGGGAAUGGCCUUUGUGACUGCACGGCUAGAGUGUGUCAGAGGGGGGUAGAAUUCCACGUGUAGCAGUGAAAUGCGUAGAGAUGUGGAGGAAUACCGAUGGCGAAGGCAGCCCCCUGGGAUAACACUGACGCUCAUGCACGAAAGCGUGGGGAGCAAACAGGA